UCCCUUGUGAGAUGGAUCCUCAACCUGCUUCUCCGACCCGCAAAGGAUCUCACGAGUUACGGCUCCUGGGCUCUCGUCACUGGUUCCACCGAUGGAAUCGGGAAAGCCUUUGCUUUCAAACUGGCCGCCCUCGGCCUCAACCUAGUCCUGCUCAGCAGGAACUCCGCCAAGCUCAAAACGGUCUCCGCCCAAAUCCAGGCUACCUUUCCCCACAUAAAAAAUCAAAGUGUUCGAGCUCGACUUUUCAAGCGGAGACGUGGGCCCGGCCCAACUGAAGGACGCCAUCAAGGGUCUCGACAUCGGGGGUGUUGAUCAACAACGUGGGCGUUACUUAUCCACGGCCCAUGUACUUCCAUGAGGUGGAUGACCAAGUGUGGAUGAAUUUGGUGAGGGUCAAUCUACAAGGAACAACUCACGUUACCAGAGCAGUUAUAGCAGGUAUAUAUAUGCCAAAUUUUCUCCUUUUUUUUUAUAAAUAAAAUAAAUAAAUUUCAAAGCAUGCAGGUAUGAUCCAUAGGGGAAGAGGCGCAAUUCUUAACAUUGGGUCGGGUGCAUCGGUUGUUGUACCUUCUCAUCCAUUAUAUGCCAUUUACGCCGCCACCAAAGCGUAAGCAUUUCCUCUCCACGGCCGUCGCGCCACCGCCUUUGAUUAGCGAACUACCCCGGCUCAUUUCCACGUGCUCUAAUUAAUGUUUUAUCGUGUUGUUGAUAUGAUGGACGAUUAGCCAGCGUUACUUUCUACUUAUUUCCGGCAAGCUUACUAUAUAUGUACGCAUAUGAUGUAGAUACUAGAUAUAGCUAUCAAGCCGUUUCCCUUUUUUUUUUUUUUACCUGACCAAAUUUUCGAUUAUAGUAACUAAUAAAUGUGUGUGAGAUGUAGUGUACUUGAAAUCUUUUAUCCUAUUUUUGAUGUUCUAUUAUCAUUUUUUAAAAAAAUUAAUAUUUUUUUGUGUGUUUUAGUUUAAUUUGAAAAUUAUUAAUAAGAGUUCACUAAUCCAAUUAGGAUUCAUAAUUAUCUUUUACAUUAAUUUGUAAUUUUAUAAUUGAUAAUUAAUUAUUAGGAUUGGUUAGUUCAUAAAUAAGGUAUAACUAAUCUAUUAAUUAGAAUAGUGAAAUUAGCAGCGGGACACGUGAUCCGAACUAGUUAUAGACGUACUGCUUACAUAAUUAUAAAACAGGGUGGUGUUUGAGUUUCUCUAUGAAGCUUUUUUAAUUAAAAUUCCUUUUAAUGAGAGCAUAUGAUGUGGUUAAUUACUUGCAGGUAUGUGGAUCAGUUAUCAAGAAGCCUGUAUGUAGAGUACAAACACUAUGGAAUUGACAUCCAGUGUCAGGUAUUAUCAUCAAUGGUUCCAAAAUUAUAAUAUAAUUUUUAUUUUAUUUUUGUAAAGUAUUCAUACAGCAAUAAUGUUAAUUUUGAUUUUAAUUCAACAUGCCCUUGAAACCCAAUUAUCUCACUUGACUAACAUUUAUGAGAAUAUAUAAAUAUACAAUAUAUAAUCAGGUACCACUAUAUGUAUCAACAAGAAUGGCAUCAGAAGUUGCAUAUGUGGAGAAAUCAACGAUAUUCAUACCAACAGCUGAGAGAUAUGUGGAAGCAGCAGUUAAGUGGAUAGGUUAUGAAAGCAGGUGCAGUCCUUACUGGGCCCAUUCUCUACAGUGGUUCUUUGCUUCAAUGUUGCCUCAUUCUCUUCUUCAUUCUUGGAGGCUCUCUGUUGCCAUUACAAGAACUCAAAAAAAACCCACCUCUCCUUAAUUACUUAAUUUAAUUAAGGAAUAGUAGCUGUUAAAUAAUUAAUGACUUUUGCUCUAUCCAUAAUAUUAUCACCUUUUGAUUUCUAGAGGUGAUGAUUUUAUUGAACAUUUAUAAAAUAGAGCAAAAAAACAUUAUUUAUUUAAUUAGUAAUUAACUCUUAAUCUGCCCAUGUUUUGUACGUAAAUUUAUAGUGUUAUCUUUCUUCUAUCAUUUUGUAACCUGUAUCGACUUUCAAGUUUCAUCAUUAAUUUGUUCUAGUAUGUUUAUGGCUUUUGUAUAUAGGUAUUCAUGUGGUGGACGUCGCCAACCACCAAAUAAUUCCUGCGGAAUUACCAAAAUAAAUUAGUAUAAUGGUAAGCAGGGUCGAUCCCACAGAGAGCAGUUAAAAAUCAUUCAAAUCCCUAAUUCUAUAAAAAAAACGGUGUUUUAAGAAGAAUGAAUUAAACUAAGAAUGCAGAAUUAACCAAAUAAAAUACUCUUGAAUUAAAUCAAUAAAAAGGGUAAUUCGGCUCAAAUAAAUCCACUCUAAUUCAAACUCUGAUCAUCAACGCAAUAAUUAAUCAAUCCCUACCAACCAACCAGUUAUAGGAUACCGUGAAACGCAACGGACGUACCCCAAUUCCUACUUACUGUGUCGAUAAACAGCUGAAGACGCCAGACCUGCUUAUUUCCCUUAUUAAAAUAUAACCUAGCUGGAGACGUCAGACCUAGAUUNAAUUUGAUAUACUUUAAUUCCCUUAAAAGACAGGUGUCAACAACCGUGGGCUAUCACGUUGCUUAUUUCUUGGAUUCCGAUUUCCGAAUACCACUUAUUUGAAAGACACGAAACGAAACCUACUUCACAAUUUAACUCUACACUUAUAUUGCAAUGAGACUUAGCUUAAGUCUCAAAGUUGAGGCAGUCAAAAAUUUUCAUGUGUGACAAGUUUUAAAUUUAAUUCUGCAUAUAAAUAGUAUAGUUUUUCCACUUUAAUUUGCUACACUUAUAUUGAGUGAAAAAGCUUAUUAAUAUACUCAUUUCCUUUUGUUUUUCUAAGUGUCUAUAUUUUUGUAUCUUUUUGUCUUGUUUUUCUUAAUAAGUGUCUUAUUUAAAAUUUGAGCGUAAUAAAAUUGUGGCAUUAUCUUUGGAUGGGAUCAUCUAUUUCAUAAUUUAGUAUGUUUCACCAUGUCCCACUCUUAAUUAUAUUUGUCAUAAUUUUUAUUUUAUUUUAAUUUUAAAUUAUUAUAUUUUUAAUAUAAUAAAAAAUAAUUAACAAGGAUUUACUCAUCUAGUUAGGAUUUACUAUAAUUAUUUUUUAUAUUUAUUUGAAUUAAUUAUUGAAUUAAUUAAUUCAAAGUUAGAAUAGUACUAUAUUUUUUUAAAUUUCAAUCUUUAGUGAUAAAUAUUGAUUAUAGUUCAUUAUAUAAUACUAAUAUUUUUAUUUUUAACAAACAAUCAUAAAAUAAAGAGAUCGAGAGUGAGACACAUUAAAUUGUGGGACAAAAGAUCUCAUCCGAAUUAUUUCUAUCUUACCCUUUUUUUUAUUUGAACAAUAAUAAAGCUCCACAAGAAAAAGAAAAUAAUUAAUAAAGCUGCAAAUGUAAAUUUUACUACUUUCUUGGUACGUGUAAUUUCCAAUUUGGUGACCGUAGGCACUUAAAAAAGGAGGAAAAUGUACAAUUAUAUUUCUGGUGUCGGUACAAAAGUUAGAUAGAUUUGAAUUAUCGUUGUACAAUUUACAUUUUUUUUUUGAGACGGCACAGUUAUUAAGUGAAUUUAAAGUGCAGACGAUAAUAAAAGUAGCUAGGUAACUUUUGGGAUACAAGUAAUUGUAAAAAUUGGUUAUAAGACAGUGAAAUAUUAGGUGAGCAUAAAUAUUGAUGUAUAGAUUGGAGUCUUUAUGUAUAGCAGUCAUUUGUGUUUGAAACCCAUCAAUGGGGAAAUACUUUUAUUGGUGUAAUAAUAAUAUACGAGGAAAACGUGGAGGUUGUUGUAUCCAUUGAACACAAGCCAUGUACGUAUAUAUUUCUCAUUUCUAGAGACUUGCUAUAAAUUAAAACCAUCUUGCAUCUCUCUCACAAGAACAAGAUGAAGAUGGUCCUCUCAACUUGCGUUGAUGAGACGGCAACGUGGAUCUUUCUAGUUUCGUGCAUCGGCUUCGUCUGCCUCUUCAAGAAUCUAACCUCCCUUGUGAGAUGGAUCCUCAACCUGCUUCUCCGACCCGCAAAGGAUCUCACGAGUUACGGCUCCUGGGCUCUCGUCACUGGUCCCACCGAUGGAAUCGGGAAAGCCUUUGCUUUCAAACUGGCCGCCCUCGGCCUCAACCUAGUCCUGCUCAGCAGGAACUCCGCCAAGCUCAAAACGGUCUCCGCCCAAAUCCAGGCUACCUUUCCCCACAUAAAAAUCAAAGU
rnacentral:lncRNA from 1 species